rnacentral:lncRNA from 1 species
AAAAUGAUUAUGUGUACUCCGUUGGUGUGGCAACAUGGAGGCAGAAAGGUCAUAUCUUUCCUUUCUUGAAAGAUUCUGAUGGCAAUGCUUUGUGGAAUAAUAAUGGAGAAGUUUUUGUGGUGGUUAUUGGGACAAUGGAAAAAGGAAGGAGAUUUAAUUAUAUGCUUUGGUGGUGGACACAUGGUGAUAGAAAUUGAGGUUAGUAUAUGCUCACUGAAUUUGCAUCUUUUCUCUGGUAUAAAUCACACGGGUGGGGACAGUUAGGGUCCAGGAAGGAUAGUAUAUACACAGAUCUUAUUCUUAUUUUUAAGAAGACAAAGAGACUAUUUUCACUGAUACCAAGAAAAAAAAUCUAUUUAAUUUACUAUAGAGUUUAAUCUAAGCGCUUAUAUAUGUUAUUACUAAAAUUAUGUUUGAUAUGAAAAGUUAUAUGAUAAUAGGCUAGAUUCAUGUAAUUUGGCGACUGUUUAUGCCCCAGUUUGACUAUGUUUCACUGUUAUAGGAUAGUUAAAUGAUGAUAAAUUGGCUCUAAUUGUGAAUUUCGUGUUUUAUAGGAGCGAGUUGCGCGUAUGAGGACUUAGAACUGUAUUUGGAGCUAAAUUGAAGCAAGGGACACCCCUCGGAGCUGAGUACGUUGAAAGAAGGGAGAAAGAAGGGCUGAAAUGAUGACCCAGACUAGCG